GACGAACGCUGGCGGCGUGCUUAACACAUGCAAGUCGAACGGAAAGGCCCUGCUUUUGUGGGGUGCUCGAGUGGCGAACGGGUGAGUAACACGUGAGUAACCUGCCCUUGACGUUGGGAUAACUUCAGGAAACUGGGGCUAAUACCGGAUAGGAGCUCCUGCUGCAUGGUGGGGGUUGGAAAGUUUCGGCGGUUGGGGGUGGACUCGCGGCUUAUCAGCUUGUUGGGGGGGUAGUGGCUUACCAAGGCUUUGACGGGUAGCCGGCCUGGGAGGGUGACCAGCCACAUUGGGACUGAGAUACGGCCCAGAGUCGUACGGGAGGCAGCAGUGGGGAAUAUUGCACAAUGGGCGGAAGCCUGAUGCAGCAACGCCGCGUGCGGGAUGACGGCCUUCGGGUUGUAAACCGCUUUCGCCUGUGACGAAGCGUGAGUGACGGUAAUGGGUAAAGAAGCACCGGCUAACUACGUG
rnacentral:rRNA from 1 species